rnacentral:misc_RNA from 1 species
GAUGAAGAACGUAGCGAAAUGCGAUAAGUAAUGUGAAUUGCGGAAUUCAGUGAAUCAUCGAAUCUUUGAACGCACAUUGCGCCCGCUAGUAUUCUGGCGGGCAUGCCUGUCCGAGCGUCAUUUCAACCCUCAAGCCCCCGGGCUUGGUGUUGGGGGUCGGCGAGCCUCCGCGCCGGCCGUCCCCUAAAUUUAGUGGCGGUCUCGCUGUAGCUUCCUCUGCGUAGUAGCACACCUCGCACUGGGGAACAGCGCGGCCACGCCGUUAAACCCCCAACUUCUGAACGUUUGACCUCGGAUCAGGUAGGAAUACCCGCUGAACUUAAGCAUAUCAAUAAGCGGAGGA